AACCUACACAAUUGGACUGGGGUU
rnacentral:siRNA from 1 species